rnacentral:lncRNA from 1 species
ACGCACUGGAGGAUCUCAUAGCGCGGACUGUUCGAGCGCAUCCGGGAAUCGUUUUCAUGUCGUUGUGGACUGUGCAAUGAUGUCGGUGGCCAUUGCUUCCAACAACUCUUGUGGUGGUUGAUGAAAUGGAUCUUUUUGUGGUUAUUGUUGUGUUUUUUGUCGUUCCAGCGUGAUAUCAGGGUCUUCAUGUGUUUUUUCAUGAUUUUCACCCUCUCAACGUGGUUUGCGGCACCAUGUUCCAUUGCAGUUUUUGUUUCUCUUGAUGUCUCAACAACAACUCUCACAUUGACAAACUCUCAACAACUCUCUGAGUUUGUCGGUUCAUCUACAGAACAUCCUGUAUAAACACAUCAUAGCGAAAUAUCCGGUAUUUAAAUUUGAAAUAUUGGGUGUCCAUCAUGUUAACCAAACAAAUGUUACCAGAAUUAUCAAACUUUAAAGCAUAA